rnacentral:lncRNA from 10 species
CAAUUUUUUAUAAGGUUGCAGAUCUCAGCCAGACUCUCAGCUAGGCUGGGUGUGAGGAUGGCGUCUCCAGCGAUGCUCAGCUGGCUUCAGAGGGAAGGGCUGCCUGUGCAUUUGUAUGUGUUGAGAGGGGUGAGCUGUGCAGCCUGGUACACAGAUCAUGAACAUCUGCUUCUCUUAGAUCUUCUGCCUACUACCACAGCAGUAAAACCACGACUCACCGCCUUCAUCACUCAGCCUCAACACUGCUUCCCUCAUGCCCUACAGACAAUGGGAGCUGGAAUCGCCCUUGAUUUCCCCUUUCUGUCAUCUUAAGCACAGUGGCCUGAGGCUGACCCUCCUCUUAGAACUUGACCCUCUUCCUCUGUCCGGCACCACUCCCUGCACAGUGGAGAAGGCAAUAUGAAGAUAGAGACAAUGGAGAUUUUAAAACGUUGAUUGGUGGAGACUGGAAAGUUGUGGUCAGAAGCCAAGGAAUGCUGACAGCCACCAUAAACUGGAAGAGGGUCUUGCUCUAUUGCACAGGAGUGCAGUGGUACAAUCAUGGCUGUCUGCGGCCUCAAUCUCCCUGGCUUAAGCAAUCCUCCUGCCUCAGCCUCCCAAAGUAGCUGGGACUACAGGAAAAGUGUCAGGCCCAUUGAAGUUACCACGUGCCAUGGCUGUGAGUGCCUUCACUACUUGGAGUAGGCUCAUCAGUAGACAACCCUCCCAGAGCUCUACGUGCAGCCGGCAUCUGCGCGGUCUGUUAGGGUAAGUGCAGUUCAGGAUCAAUUAUGGAUGAGGCUCCACAGCAGAUGAGUAAGUGGGCUGUUGUCUACUUUGAAAAAUUAAUGGGAUCUGAUUAAUACGGGAGAACAGUCCCUCUCUUCCUCAACCCAGAGAGGCUCAGAUCUCUGUGGAAGCUUGAGGGUUUGGCGGUUGGGGAGGAGGGAGCUCCUGUGUCUGUGGGUGUCAGGUUUGAUUCAUAGGAUCAUGCUUUGGAAUUUUCUGCUCCUUUGACAGAUGAGGCUGCUGAAUUCCAUCAAGGUGAAUCAAUUUGCCCAGACAGGUA